GAUGAACGCUGGCGGCGUGCCUAAUACAUGCAAGUCGAGCGGUAAGGCCUCUUCGGAGGUACACGAGCGGCGGACGGCUGAGUAACGCGUAGGAACGUACCCCAAAGUGAGGGAUAAGCACCAGAAAUGGUGUCUAAUACCGCAUGUGGCCCACGGGCUAAAGCUUCGGCGCUUUGGGAACGGCCUGCGUAAGAUUAGCUAGUUGGUGAGGUAAUGGCUCACCAAGGCGACGAUCUUUAGCUGGUCUGAGAGGAUGAUCAGCCAGACUGGGACUGAGACACGGCCCAGACUCCUACGGGAGGCAGCAGUAGGGAAUUUUCCACAAUGGGCGAAAGCCUGAUGGAGCAACGCCGCGUGCAGGAUGAAUGCCUUCGGGUUGUAGACUGCUUUUAUAUGCGACGAAUAUGACGGUAGCAUAUGAAUAAGGAUCGGCUAACUCCGUGCCAGCCGCCGCAGUAA
rnacentral:rRNA from 1 species